CUUUUCUCCACGCGAAAAGAUAAAGCUGCCUUUUCCCUCGCUGGAUAGCAGCCAUCGAGUGAUCGAGAGAGAGCUUGAAGGAGGUUCGAUGAUGGCGCGAAGCGUGGUCCAUUCGAAGAGCUGUUGCUCCGCCUUCGCUUUCAGGGCGUCCGCCGUGGAGACCCGGCCCGGCCGCGUCCGGAUCCCCGACAAGGCCCGCGACGCUCGCGUCCUCGUCCUCGGCGGCACCGGCCGGGUCGGCGGCUCCACCGCCCUCGCCCUCUCCAAGCUCUCCCCCGAUCUCCGGAUCGUCGUCGGCGGCCGGAACAGGGAAAAAGGUGAUUCAAUGGUGGCUACGUUGGGGAAGAACUCUGCGUUUGCUCAAGUCAACAUUGACGAUAUGGUGUCCUUGGAAAGGGCUUUGGAUGAUGUUGAUCUUGUGGUCCAUACAGCAGGGCCCUUUCAACAGGCUCAGAAUUGCAAUGUACUUGAGGCAGCUAUAGCAACCAAGACUGCAUAUGUUGAUGUCUGUGAUGAUACUCGCUAUGCAUUGCUUGCGAAGUCGUUCAAUGACAAAGCAGCUGCUGCAAAUAUUUCGGCCAUCACGACUGGUGGAAUAUACCCAGGAGUGAGCAAUGUUAUGGCAGCUGAGCUUGUCCGCGCAGCCAAAGAUGAGAGCAAGGGUGAGCCUGAGAAAUUGAGAUUCUAUUACUACACUGCAGGUACUGGCGGUGCUGGUCCAACUAUUUUAGCAACUAGUUUUUUACUUCUAGGAGAAGAGGUAGUUGCCUAUAGAAAAGGAGAAAAGAUCAAACUGAAGCCAUAUAGUGGAGGUCUAAACAUCGAUUUUGGAAAGGGGAUUGGAAAGAGGGACGUUUUCCUGCUGAACUUGCCAGAGGUGAAAAGUGCUCAUGAAAUCCUUGGAGUGCCCACUGUCAGUGCUCGGUUUGGAACUGCCCCAUUUUUCUGGAACUGGGGGAUGUCGGCAAUGACAAAUCUUCUACCUCCUGAAUAUCUUCAAGACAGAAGCAAAGUACAGGAAUUGGUUCAACAAUUUGAUCCCAUAGUUCGUGUAAUUGAUGGGAUAGCAGGAGAGCGUGUUUCAAUGAGGGUUGAUUUGGAGUGUUCCGAUGGACGUCAUGCAGUUGCUAUAUUCACUCAUAGGAGACUCUCAGUGUCAGUUGGAUAUUCUACUGCUGCAUUUGUUCUAGCAAUUCUGGAGGGAAGCUCAAAACCCGGCGUGUGGUUCCCAGAAGAGCCUGAAGGACUUGCUGUGGAGGCCAGGGAGAUUCUUCUGAAACGCGCAUCUCAAGGAGCUAUCAACUUCGUGAUGAACAAGCCUCCCUGGAUGGUGGAGACCGAACCAAAAGAAGUUGGAUUGGGAAUUUAUGUAUGAAUACAUUCUUGGUGAUAUGGGGAGAUUGAAGUAUCGGCCAAUCAUACCAAGUCGGCUCUCUUGAGUGCUGCAAAACUGUCCUUAUAGUUGCCACUUCUGUCCCGCUUUCCGGGCAAGACUCGGGUUUGCGCAUCAGGAUAUCAUUCCCCCCCUGUUCUUACUGGAUUCGAGAUACUAACCUGCAAGCAAUAUCAACUUUACAAAUCCAUGUACAUUUUUUGACAUAAGCCUGAAAACAUAGCACCUAAAUUAAUGAAUGAUUUUUUUCUGCAGUGUCA